AGUGAACGCUGGCGGUAGGCCUAACACAUGCAAGUCGAACGGAAGCAUAGGAAGAGCUCGCUCUUAAGGGUGGCGAGUGGCGGACGGGUGAGGAAUACAUCGGAAUCCACUUUUUCGUGGGGGAUAACGGAGGGAAACGUACACUAAUACAUAACACGAACUACGGGUGAAAUCAGGGGAGAUUGGGACCUUGGCCGUUUGAAUGAGCCGAUGUCGGAUCAGCUAGUUGGCGGGGUAACGGCCCACCAAGCCAACGAUCCGUAGCUGAUCUGAGAGGAUGAUCGGCCACACUGGAACUGAGACACGGUCCAGACUCCUACGGGAGGCAGCAGUGGGGAAUAUUGCACAAUGGGCGCAAGCCUGAUCCAGCCAUACCGCGUGGGUGAAGAAGGCCUUCGGGUUGUAAAGCCCUUUUGUUGGGGAAGAACAGCUGCAGAUUAAACUCCCGCUGUUCUGACGGUACCCAAAGAGAAAGCAACGGCUAACUUCGUG
rnacentral:rRNA from 1 species